rnacentral:lncRNA from 1 species
AUAAAAUUCUUCUUCAGGGUAAGAUUCCCUUGUUGAAGUGACAUGGUGCAGAAUCUCAGACAGAGGUAGGGUUGUCUGUGAUGGACAACAAAUAAAUCAUCUCUGCAGUCUCGCACUUUUCCCAGUAUUUUUCUGUCAGGACGGGUUUGAUUGUUGUCCAUUGCUUUUACCUUAGGUUGGACUUCCCUUCAUCAGUAUCUCUUUAAAUGGAGUUCUCCAAGAAUGAAAUCAUCGUGCAAUCAUUAUUAUCUACUGCUGGACGCUUUGGAGCUCCUCAAUGCUUCACGAUAGUUCUAGUUUGGGUUCCUU